rnacentral:lncRNA from 1 species
GAAGAAACUCUCAAGCCGCCUUAACUUACACAGCGGGCCCCAUGCCUGGCGCUGGGAGGAAUGGCGAGGCUGUCCUGUCCCUAGGGCAGAGGGCUUGCGGGGCUGAGCACCUGAGCACAAGUACUUCGUGGUCAAGAGUGUUCCACAUUGCUGACAUUCAGCUCAGCCUCAGAAGCACCCUUGACAACUACCGAUGGCCACAGCCAAAUGGUUACCUGUAAAGUGGCCACUGCACCGUUUUCAGACAUGCCUGAACGAACUGCACACAGUGGGCCUGCAGAGCUGCGCCUUCCAGCCCCCUGCCUCGCCUGGCCGACCACUCCCGCUCUACACUUCGGAAGCAGGCUCAAGACUGCCUACCUCUUAAAGCUGCUGGAGAAGUGAGCCCAAUUCCAUAAGGACUGCAGGGGCCAAAGAUGACGCUCCCCUAGUCGUCACUGACUCUCCUUGUUGCACGAGUUACAGACCCGCAGGAGGACACCAGCAUCCUGGCUGGGCCCUGACCAGACCCUUGCACUGCACCCUAACCCUGGCUGGCCAUCCCCGUGACCUGCAGGCCCACAGCCCUUCUAGAACCACCAACCAACUCUACUCGGCACUCUGGCCUACUUGCCACAUGGACAACACGAUUGCUGGACCCUGAAGACAUCUUAGCUGGUGACCUACAAACAUCUGCUUGCAGGAUCUUCUUGGAGCAAGCCUUAGACAUCCAGGAAGUAGCAGGAGCCCCAAGGUUCAGUUUCUCAAGAGCACCAAGAAAUGGCCAAUGCUUUAGUUAAGAAUGUGCACCAGCCUGCAGUUCUUCACUGAGGUAUUUUGUCACAGUGACAGAAAGCUGAGCAUCACAAACACAAGGAAGAAGGUCAUGGUAAAUGCAAGCAGAGACUGGAGUGAAGCAGCUAUAAGCCAUGAAUGCUGGGGAGCGUUGGAGCCACCAGAAGCUAUGAAGAGCCAAGGAAGGCUUACUUCUUCCUAGAGUUUUUACCUGGAGUAUAGCCCUACUGCUACCUUGAUUUCAGACUUUUAGCCACCAAAUAAGUGAUGGAAUAAAUUUCUGCUGUUUUAAACCAUUUAGUUUGUGGGAAUUUGUCAUAGCAGCUCCAGGAAAUGAAUAUAUGCAAAACCACCCAUUGAUUACCUAUUGUAUUUUAGGAUUAAUAAACAAGGCUG